GGAUGCCACCGAUCCAGAAGAUCCAAACAAAGGUCUUAAACAAAUGGCCAGAUUCAGUGCUGAAAGCAACACC